rfam:Halomonas sp. STBG004 Ion019_assembly_c8, whole genome shotgun sequence.
CCAAUACGUUCCGAAGAGUGGUUGAUGACGGCGUCACUCAACCCACCGAAGGAGCAAGCGCCACCACAUUGGCGUGAAUCUCUCAGGUUCCAUGACGGAAGGGGUACC